rnacentral:rRNA from 1 species
CCUACGGGUGGCAGCAGUGAGGAAUAUUGGUCAAUGGGCGUAAGCCUGAACCAGCCAAGUCGCGUGAGGGAUGAAGGCCCUAUGGAUCGUAAACCUCUUUUAUAAGGGAAUAAAGUGUGGGACGUGUCCUAUUUUGUAUGUACCUUAUGAAUAAGGAUCGGCUAACUCCGUGCCAGCAGCCGCGGUAAUACGGAGGAUCCGAGCGUUAUCCGGAUUUAUUGGGUUUAAAGGGUGCGUAGGCGGGCUUUUAAGUCAGCUGUGAAAGUUUGUGGCUCAACCAUAGAAUUGCCGUUGAAACUGGGGGGCUUGAGUAUGGUAGAGGCAGGCGGAAUGCGUGGUGUAGCGGUGAAAUGCUUAGAUAUCACGCAGAACCCCGAUUGCGAAGGCAGCCUGCCGAGCCAUGACUGACGCUGAUGCACGAAAGCGUGGGGAUCAAACAGGAUUAGAUACCCGGGUAGUC